rnacentral:rRNA from 1 species
UGGGGAAUUUUGGACAAUGGGCGAAAGCCUGAUCCAGCAAUGCCGCGUGUGUGAAGAAGGCCUUCGGGUUGUAAAGCACUUUUGUCCGGAAAGAAAUCCUUGGCUCUAAUACAGUCGGGGGAUGACGGUACCGGAAGAAUAAGCACCGGCUAACUACGUGCCAGCAGCCGCGGUAAUACGUAGGGUGCAAGCGUUAAUCGGAAUUACUGGGCGUAAAGCGUGCGCAGGCGGUUUGCUAAGACCGAUGUGAAAUCCCGGGCUCAACCUGGGAACUGCAUUGGUGACUGGCAGGCUAGAGUAUGGCAGAGGGGGGUAGAAUUCCACGUGUAGCAGUGAAAUGCGUAGAGAUGUGGAGGAAUACCGAUGGCG